rnacentral:rRNA from 1 species
GGCGGCGUGCCUAACACAUGCAAGUCGAACGCGAAAGUCCCGCAAGGGAUUAGUAGAGUGGCAAACGGGUGAGUAACACGUGGGUGACCUGCCUUCGAGUGGGGGAUAACGUCCCGAAAGGGACGCUAAUACCGCAUGACAUCCUGCUUUUAAAGAGGUGGAGAUCAAAGCCGGGGAUCCGCAAGGACCUGGCGCUUGAAGAGGGGCCCGCGCCUGAUUAGCUAGUUGGUGGGGUAACGGCUCACCAAGGCUACGAUCAGUAUCCGGCCUGAGAGGGCGGACGGACACACUGGGACUGAGACACGGUCCAGACUCCUACGGGAGGCAGCAGUGGGGAAUAUUGGACAAUGGGCGCAAGCCUGAUCCAGCCAUGCCGCGUGUGUGAAGAAGGCCUUCGGGUUGUAAAGCACUUUUGUCCGGAAAGAAAUCCAAUCGAUUAAUACUCGGUUGGGAUGACGGUACCGGAAGAAUAAGCACCGGCUAACUUCGUGCCAGCAGCCGCGGUAAUAC